rnacentral:snRNA from 1 species
AUGCUUGCUCCAUUCAGCAGCAUAAGCAUUGAAAUUAGAACUGUACAGAGAUUAGCAUGGUUCUUUAACAAGGAUUACAUGCAAAUUCUUUUUUUUCAAAUCUUUUUU